GUUUUGCAAUGCUGACCAAGCUAUAGGUGCUCAAGAAGAGAAAACACACUUUGGAAAGUUUUCUUGAUGAUGUAACUUGGGCUACAUCAACAGAUUGCUUCAGCUCAUCAGCAGUUGGUUCUCCAACCACCUGCGAUACAUCUGCAGUGGUCAUUGAAAGUGUUUUUGAUGACAUGAGUUGGGCGACACCAUCUGGCCGUUCAGAAACAGUAGUUACUCCAGGAUCUAUUGCAUGCACUAUGGUUGCCCACUCUCCCAAGACAGAUGUAGGUCAGAUAACAAAGACCCCGUGUGAUACAUCUGCAGAGGUCAUUGAAAGUUCUCUUGAUGACAUAAGAAGGACAACAUCAUCUGGUUCAGAAACGGUAGUUACUCCAGGAACUAUGACAUGCAUUGCAGUUACCCACCCUCCCAGGUCAGAUGUAGAUCGAUUGGCAGCAACCACGUGUGAUAA